rnacentral:lncRNA from 1 species
UAAUUUGAAUUUUAAAAAUUAAAAAUCAAAUAUAUAUUACCACAAUUAAUGGGAUUAAAUAUAUUUAAAAUAUUUUUUAGAACAAAAAUACCUGACUUGUUAAUAAAAAGAGUUAAUACAUGAUUUUCUACCAUGGAAACUCGAACGCAUGGUGUCCUCUAAAGGGAAAUGCCAUAUUUUAAGAUUACAUUUUCAGAAAUAUCAAAGUUUGAGACUUUGGAUAACCAAGUUAUAAUUAAAAAUUUUUUGGUAUGGGAAUAAAUAAUAAUUGAUUUAUAUAAGAUAAAAAUAUUCCACAAUUAGUGGUUAUCGUAUGAAAAUUGAUUUUUAUCUCAUCAUAUUCCUCCCCUAAAAAUUUGCUUACAGUUACUAUCUUUCCCAUUUAAUGUCUCUGAGAAAAAGAAAAGAAUAAUGCUAUUUGCUGUCGCUUACUAACCAUCACAUGUAUGCUAUAUAAGGUGACUAUGGUAUUGAGCGAUUGAAAAUAACAUUACUCAAAAGAAAAUGAUAAAUUGUUGCUCCAUGAUUUCGUAAUUUCCUUGCAUAUUUUUCGGCCACAACAACCAUUCUACAUGUCAAUAGGCUACAACCAACAUUCUGUUGCCACCAUAGGUAGGCGUUUGGAAUUUUUAAAGAUAUGUUUGUGCUAUUUAAUAAUUUGUGAAUAUAGUUUUAUAACUAUAAAUGUGUUGUAUGGACGGUAUAAUAUUCAUGUUAAAAGUCAUACGUGACCAACGAUAUAUAAGCAUGUGCAUAAAGUUAAUAUGUGACCAGUGACUUAGUGAUUUUACACAAUGAAAUUAUUGUACUAUUUAUAUUUUUCACAAAACUUUGUCAAAUUGUAACUCAAGUGACCUGUGAAAUUGUGACCUUUGUAUUAAUGUGACGUGCAAAAUUGUGGCUUGAUAAUAUGUGUAAAGUGAAAAUGAAAUAUUUAUGACAUUUGUAUUUUAUGUGUGUUUUUGCGACCUCUCACAAUGCGGUAAAGAAGAAAAAGAAUUAGUGUUUCUAUCUCCAAAUUCAAAUAAUAAUUACCAGUCCAAAAAUUAAAAUCAUGUAUAUAUUACCACAGUUAACAAGACUGGGGACAAAAUAAAAACAUAUACUAUAAUUAUAUAAAAUAUUUUUUGAAAAAAAGACAUCUGAUUUUCUAAUUAAAAAAAUAAUACCUGAUUUUUAUAAUGAAACUUAAAAUCAUGGUUUCCUCUAAUUUUUUCAUUCUAUAAUUUUGAUGUUUUCCCAAAAUUUGCAGUUUCCCUGCAAUGGCUUAUACCUAUAGAUUCAAGUAUUUCUCAAUUCAAGAUAUACUCUUUUAUCCCCCGUUUGGCCCCUUUUAAAACUUUUCAAUUUAAUUUAAACUUUUUCUCUCAUACUUUGAAUCAAACAAUCUUCAAUAAAAUAAUAUUACAUUCAAAUCGAAAACUUUUCAACCACACAAUCUUCAAAAAAAUAUUAUUCCCCCCAUUAUAAAUUCAAAUAAUGGGGGCCAAACAAACUCUUAGUAAUUACGAUUAUUUCUAUUUAACUGAGAUUUUCCCUUCUUUUUGUGGAUUUUUGGCUGGGAUUGUUUAUUAAUUGAUGAAAAGUGAAGGAUUAAGCAUGAGACCAGUGGCUGACCCGUGGUAAUUCAAAUGAAAUCUAGUUUAAGAAUAAAUGUGAUGCAUGUGGAUUUCGAUGAUGAGGUCACUGCCUCACCGGUCUACACACAAGCAAGCUCGAAAAAUCAUAAAUUUAUAUUUUUGCUAAAAUUAUAUCCACAAUCAUAUUACGCAACAAAGAAUUUUAGGUUCGUGUUGUAAAGUUUGUUACAGGUGCUAAAAAUUUUUGUGCAAAUAGGCUGUUUGAUCGUUUAAUGGGGUGAUAAAAAAUUUCCCUGUUGACUCGGAUUUUCCAGCUAGACGAACAUUAGAAGUUAUUUGAAUUUUGAAUUGUUACUAUGGACGUUGGUACUCUAUUCGGAAGUGCUCAUUAGAAGUUAAUGUGACAUUUGUAUCCUUUAAUCUUAUUAUGCUCAUUAAUUCUAAGGCAAAUAUCUAGAGUAACUUGAAUGUUAGUUGAUUUUAAUUAUCCCGAAUGAUCCAUUAUUCAUGAAGUGAAUUGAUGUGACGCAGGAUGCAAUACGAGAAUUAUAGGAGAAGGGGGAAGGGGAGAGAAGAGAAGGGAGGGGAAAAGAGAGAAGAAAAGGGAGAGAGGAAGGUAGAAGUUGGGGGAGAAAUAAGUUUAUUUCAUAUAUCAAAACUUGUCUGAUUACAAAGCAUAAGACCCUUUUAUAUAAGAAUUCGUACCAAAUUGAUGCAGGAUGCAGUAUGAGAAUUAUAGGAGAAGGGAAAAGGGGGGAGGAAGAGAACGGAGGGGGCAAAGAGAGGAAGAUAGAAACUGGGGGAGAAAUCAGUUUAUUUCAUAAAUCAAAGCUUGUCUUAUUACAAAGCAUAAGACCCCUUUAUAUAGGGAUUCAAUGGGGAACAUAUAAUAAAAGCAACUAAAUUAAACCUAAUUAUGUUUCCUAAAAUACUAAUUAAAACUGGAAACUAAACACAAUAAUAUCCCUUAUUAUAUUGCAUCAUGAUGUUUCAUGUCAAGAUGAUUAGGACUGCCUAUAAGUUUCUAGCGGAAAAUAUGACUUGGUGAUCAUCAGCGACGUUCGGAUCCAUUUUCUAGUUAAAUAUGAGGCAGUAUUUCACAAUGAUGCUCUGCAUUCUGUCAUGUUUCUUAGAAGCAAGCCCAGAAGAACACCUGAGCAAAAAGUGCAGCAAGGCAAGCUUUGGCUGUUUUGUAAAGUGUUGAUAUCUCAAAGCAUUAAAAUUUGCACAAAGUUUGAGACCUUUUUCAUCUGAGCCAUUGCUUUCUUAGUUUGUUACUUGGAAUUGGACUAGUUGCUUAAAAUGUAUAUAAUCAUAAUAUAAAAUAAAUUUUUGCUAAUUUUGAAUGAAUCAGUGAUAAAAUCAACUUAUCUUUGCAGCAACUACUGAAAAUUGCUUCAGUUUCUCAAUAAUGCUGAAUUGUCAUUACAUAUUGAUUUUUGCCAUUUCAAAUAUCUAUUCUUCACUUAUGUUAAUUCUUGCAUCACUUUGCAUUUUGUGCUUAAUCCCAAGAGUUCUUUGCAUUUUGGUACAGUGCCUUGAUGACUGUAUUUCAGAUGUUUAAUAGACGUUGCACUUAGGAACUUCUGGUUUUACCUAUAAAAGGUUUUGUUCUUGCCAUGUACUUGUGAAUCCUGUUAUGUGCUAUACUUUGUAUACGUUUUUAUGUAUUUGUUUCUAUUUUCUGCUCUGGAUUCUUUGCCUAUUUAAUACUGCAGGUAGCUCAAGAAAUUGAAUCCGAAGCUAAAUACGAAAUGAUUUUCUCAACCAGCUGGUAUGCCAUUAACUGUACAGAACCUGAAUCUGAAUUGGGCCUCGACUGAUUACUGAUAUUACAUUCACUAAUUGCUGGAAAAGUAGAUGAGGAAUUAGCCGCAGUUGGCAACCUGUUUUCCUUCCGAAUUAUUGACUUAACAGACAGUGCACGUGAAUCACUCUUUUAGGCAGUAUGCUUCACAAGAGAAGAAUUUGGUGUUCGUUUAAUUCAAUUUGUGGGAAAAGGUCUUGCAAAUUACAGGUACCAUGGUGAUGUAGAGGGUUUAUGCCAUGCUUCUAUACAAUCCUUUCCUAUUAAAAAUGUUACUUCUUAUAGCACCAACAAAACCUUCAAAAAUGAAAAUUUAAAAUUUGACAUUGAAGUCAAUUGGAGGAUGGGAGUAAAGGAGUGAUGAGGAAAAUGGAAAAUCAUGUUAAAAUGAGUCUGAAGCCAUAGCUGAGAAUUGUAGUGGAUCUUGUUUUAUAUAUAUUUUGUGAACUCGUACAGUUUGAGGAAUGCAAGAAGGGAACAAAAGUUUCCAGCAUUUAUGGCGGCAUUAUUAGGGGAAGGAAGGGAAUACCCAGUUGGUCGUGCGACCCUUAUUUUGUUUGAUGCAUUAUUUUUUUAAGCUGAUUCUAUGCCCUUCUAUUCAUCCCCUUGAUCACGCUCUGAUCAUAUGGGAACUUAGGAAUUUUUAAGGCUGUUGAUUUUGGUUCGGUAAAAUUCUGUUGAAUACUCAAAAAUUGAAAUGUGCAGUUCGUAUUGCUGUCUUUUUCCAAAAUAAGAGGUUCAUGCCUCUUUUGGCCCUCACCAUCAAAAACCUUUACUUGUUUUAGAAAUUUGGUCCAAUAUUAAUCCUUGAACUGUUCGACUCAUUAUCUUGUUUGAAACGACCUAGCUCUCGUCUAUUGUUCUAUUUCUUUUACAGCAAAUGACAUUGAUCAAAGCUCAAGUAGGGGGGAAAAAUAACAUGAGGAUGCUGAACAAAAGCAUCGUCAAGGAAGGAUCAAGUCGUCAUUAAUGUGGUUCCUUUUGCACUUCUUUGUUUUUUGUUGUCGAAAUUUUCACAAAGAUGAACAAGAAUACUUCUCCAUUGCUUUCUCCCAGGGCUGGUACAUUAAGUUCACUUAAAAAAUAUCUGUCUACGUAUAUAUCAAAUGCAUUUUCUCUCAAAACCUUUCACAUGGCUUAUCCUUUUAAGUUGUUACAAGUCAGAAAAGCAUGCUUGUGGUUAUUCCAACCUUCUUGUAAAAUGUAAAUAGUUAUAUGGAAUGGCUUGUAAAUACUCCGCUGAAGCAAGAAUUAGAAGAUAUUAUUAUUUUUUCCGUAUGUGUUUAAAAAUUUCCUGUGUGAAGAUGGAAAAGUUGGAAAAGAUGGAAACUGAUAAUAUUAGUCUCUCUCUCUCUUUUUUUUUUUCCCCCAAGAAAUUGGAAUCCUGGGAAUUUUGCCCUAGGAUAUCAGAAGUUUAGUAGGUACCCUUUAUAACAAGAAUUGGAAUCUUUGAUGCUAUGUCCAUCGAACUUAAAAAUCCUACGUUAACUAAGAAGCUGCUACAUGGAAGUACUCCAGUAAAGUGUUUCUAGAGUUAUCAUUGUAAAGAUUGGGUUUUGCUGAAAUUUGAGCCCGAAAGAUGGUUGCUGGCCUACUGAUCCUUUUCAUUGUUCGGCCCAAUUGCUCAGUCCAUCUAAAUGAAGGUUUAGACUUGAAGAAUUUUGUUUCUUAACUAUGAUUACUGCAUUCGUAACUUAAAUUGAAUGGAUGGCUGACACAUGAAGUACUUGUGACCGUUGGAUGCAUAGAUGAAAUGAUACAUAUACUAUCUGUAGUCAUUUUGAAGGGGUGUGGAUGAAACCCUAGUUUCUUGACAUUUUUUUUUUUUUUUUUUAACGAGGUCUCCCAGCUUGCGCCAGACUAUAUAUCGUCGUCCCUGAACCUCCGGCCCCUCAGCUGCUCAGGGAGGUAAAUCGCAGAAUGUGCCCUUAGUUUCUUGACAUUCUUUGUUAUGCUUCGUGUGGUUUGUGAGAGAUUCACCAUGUGGGUGAUACUCUUGUAAAUUCUUGAGUAGAAUUUUGAUUGCUGUUAAUCAAUAACUGUUAUCCUCAUUUGUGAGUAGUUUUUAUACCAUUGUGGGAUAGCAGAGUGAGUUGGGAGGGAGAAAUCUUUUGAACAUUUGGUAUUCCUUUGUAAUCGAUAUUCUUGCUUGUUUUUGGGCUGUGUUAGUGGAUUAGAUAGCUAUCGCUAAACCUCCGGGGCCUGUGGCCGAAAAUUCUCGUGUGUUCUUUUGAUUUCUUACGUUUCUUUUAAACAAAGUUGGGUCACAAAUUUGGGACCUACAAUGGUAUGAGAGCUUGAAAACCCUUUGAUUCAUGUUCAAAUUUGGUUUUAAAACUCGAUUUGGUUCUGGUCGACUCUUCUGUUUUAAAGAAAACGUCAGAUUUGAGACAAUUUGUUAAUAUUCCUUAAAGAAAUUUCUUGAUAUGUACUUGAAGUUGCUUUGGGAGUAUUCUUGAGUAUUCUUUCAUGUUCACACUUCUGGUAACAAGUUUCAUAACCCUCUCUGAAAUUUCGAAAUGGGGAACCUAUGAGAAUAUUUUUUUAUUUUUUAACAAAGGAUUCCUGAAAACCUCCCUAAAUUUACCUUUGUCUAGGGAUCCCUGAGAGAACCCUAGAAUUUGAGGGAAUUAGGGUUUUGGUUUAAGGAAAUUCAAAAUUUUCAAUGACUUUUUGAAGUUGAUAUUUUGCUACUUUGUGUGUGUGUGCUAUAAUAUCUUAACUGGUUUUUAAAUUCACAUACCUGUUUUGAAGUGCUACAUGGGCCUUGUUUGAAUCCAUUAAUUUGGAAAAAUGUAUUAUGAAAUAGUGAAUGAUGGAGAAUGUGUGGUUAAAAAAGAAGGAUUUUUUUUUUACUUAUGUUUAAUAUUAUUUUAAUGAAGAAUGUGUGGUUAAAAAUGAGUAAUGUAGAAAAAAUUAUGGGAAAGAAUUUUAAGUAAAGGAUGACAAACGGGAGCAUAUUGUUAACUUUGUAUUGAUACUCUAAUUGUGUUUAUUUUGGGAUUACGCCUCUAUUCAUGUGAAUAACUUGAUAUCAUAUGUUUUGAACUUUUCUUCUUGUUUAUUGAGUGUAAGCAUACCUGUUCUUGAUAUUUUUAUUGUAUAGUCUUUCCUUAUAUUUGGAUUAUACUCUCUAUCUUGCAAUUGAAUUUUUUAAAACCAUUUGUUUAAUAUAUUCUUACUUACAAUUUUGCACAAUUAUCACAUUGUUGCAUUCUAAAGUAGAUGUUCAGAUUUGGGAUGGCAAAGGAGACUUUAGCCUCUGGUGAUGGAAAAUUAAAGCUCUUAUGCAACAGUUAAAAUGUGCUAAAGUCAUUGAUGCAAGUUGGCUAGAAAACCUACCUGUGGAUAGGAAAACUAAACAAGACGAAUUAGGGUAUAGUACUAUGUUUCUCGACCUAUUUGAUUAUGUAAUUAAGAAAGUAGGGGAAACCAAUACUACUGUGGAAUUGUAGACUGCUUUAGAGAAACGGUAACUCACUAAGACUCUACCAAAUAAGUGUUAUCUUUGGAGACAAUUUUUUAGUUUUAAGUUUGAUCCUAGCACUGACUCUGGAGAAAACAUGGACAGAUUUAAUAGGAUCACUUAGGAUCUGAUAAAUUGUGGUGAAAAGAUUUCUGGUGAACAAAAAGUGGUUGGUUUGCUUAAUGCACUAGGAGAGAAAUGUAAAGACAUAAGAAAUGCUUUAGAAUAUGUUAGAAGAGACUUGACUGUUGAUAUAAUUCAUAGCCCUCUUUUAAAUAGAGAAUUGGAAUUAAGAUCUGAACAUAAAGAGGUCUUUCAUGAUGAGAAUACCUCAUCUAAUACAAAAACUCAAGUCAAAGGUAUGAGUAACUUUAGUCGAGCUAAUUAUAAUAGAGAUAAUAAUCUCAUUCAAAGAGGCUAAGAACAAAAAGUGCUACUGCUACGGAAAAACAGGUCAUUUUAUAGAAUGUUUUAAGAAAGCUAAUGAUCAAGAGAAUGGAUCCAAUCUUGAGAAUGGUUCUUUAGCCAUUGCUGCCUUUUAUAAAGAAGCAGGAGCUAAUGCUGGGGUGGUUUAUGUAGCUUCAACUGAAAGGAUUGAUCAGAAUUGUGUUUUAGAUUCAGGUUGCUCCUUUCAUUUGAGCCCCAAUCUCAAUUGGUUCUCUAAUUUCUCAAGACUAGAUGGAGGUUUUGUGAAUCUUGGAAACAUGAGACAUGCCAAGUAAAGGGUAUUGGCAAUUUUGUCAUGGGGUUUGAAAAUGGUCAACACAUGAUGUUAAAACAUACUAGGUAUGUUCCAGCGUCAAGAAGAAAUCUUAUAUUGUUAGGGGUUCUAGAUGAUGAGAACUAUCAUAUUGAAAUCAAUAAUGGUUUUAGAUACAUAAUUAGAUACCAAAAGCUCAUUGUAGAUUCCCCGAACUCUAAUAGAAUCUAUGUUAUCAGUUCUGAACUUGUUUCACCCAAAUGUGUAAACUUUGUAACAUAAUAUGAUAAAUCGCAAUUAUGGCACAAGAGAUUAUGUCAUCUUAGUGAAAAAGGCUUGUUCUUCCAAAUGAAGGGCAGAUGAGACAAAUAAGACCUUCUUCUAGAUUUCAAUAUGCAGAUUAUGUAUGUCUAGUUUGAAUUUGAUCCUUUUGAUUUGGAACCACCUUCUUAUGAAGAAGCUGUAUCCUGUAAGGAAUCCUCUAAGUGGCUUAUAGCAAUGUAAGUGGAGAUGAAUUCCUUAUGUAAGAAUAGAACUUAAAAUUUGGUAGAAAAACCCAAAGGCUGCAAACUGAUUAACUGCAAAUGGGUUUAUAAAAUCAAAUAAUAAAAGAUAUAAGGCAAGACUUGUAGCAAAAGAUUUUACACAGACUAAAGGAAUAGACUAAAUCGAAAUUUUUUCACCUGUUGCGAAAUACACAUCUAUUAGAAUAUUACUUGCCAUUGUAACUCAAUUUGAUUUAAAGUUAGAACAAGUUGAUGUUAAUACUGCUUUUCUACAUGGUUCUCUAGAUGAAUCCAUAUAUAUGACUCAACCAAAAGAUUAUGAAGUGAAGAAAAAGGAGAACUUAGUGUGUCUCUUGAAUAAAUCCCUGUAUGGUCUAAAAUUGGCUACAAGGCAAUGAUAUACGAGAUUUCAUUCUUUUAUAUAGGGAUUGAAGUUCAAAAAAUUUGAAUAUGAUCCAUGUUUUUUAUUUAAAAAAUGAUGGAGAAAUUGGAUUUUUCUAUCGGCUCCCAUAUGUUGAGUACAUGCUACUAGUUGGUCACAAUUCUGUUACUCUCAACUUUAUAAAGGAAAAGUUGAAAUCUGAAUUUGAAAUGAAGGAUUUAGGACUUGCUAGGAACAUGGAAAUAAAAAGGGGCAAAAUUAAUGGAAAACUAUUUCUAACACAAAAAUCUUAUAUUGAAAGAGUGGUUAAACGAUUUUUUGUUUAUGAUGCUAAGCCUAUUAGUUUGCCUUUAUCUGCUUGUGUGAAUUUAUCUAUUGAUCAAUUACCUAAGUUGAAGAUGAAUUUAAAAGAAUGAUGAAUGUUCUAUAUGCUAAUGCUGUUGGAUCUAUCAUAUAUGUGAUGGUGUGCUCUAGAUCUGAUAUAGCUUAUGUUGUAAGUGUGAUGAGCAGAUUCAUGAGUAAUCCAAGUGAUCUUUAUUGGGAAGCUAUGAAAAAUUUAAUCAAAUACUUGAAAGGCACAAAUCAAUCAGGACUUAUGUUAAAAAUUGAUAAAGAUGGUCUUGAGUUGAAAGGGUAUGUUGACUCUGAAUUUUGUUAGAAACGUAGACAAUAGGGAGUCUAUAACUGCAUAUUUCUAUGUGAUAAAUAAUACAUGUAUUAGAUGAAAAUCUCAACUUCAGAAAUUAGUUGCCUUGUCUUCAAGUGAGUCUGAAUAUAUAGUUACAAAUGAAGCAGUAAAAAAUGUUCUAUGGCUAAAAGGCUUAUUAAAUGAUCUAGGUUAUGGAAAGUAAGGUAGAGUUAUGGUUAGAUAAUCAAAGUAUCAUUUUCUUAAGUGAAAAAUCAAAAUUUUCACGAUAAAUUUAAGCAUAUAGAUGUUAAAUUUCAUUUUAUUAGAGACAUACCACUUAGUAAAUUCAUUGAUUCUUUGGGAUUAUUGAAAUUUGAAGUUUGCUAUUUUUAUUUUUAUUUUUUCCUUUCUUUGUGAACAGGUAACGAGUGCAAAUGAAAUUAGUUAUUUAGUUUUUAAAUGCACUUCGCUAUUGUCUCAAAUUACGGCAAGGUGGCGAUUGUAAAGAUUGGAUUUGCUGACAUUUUAGCCCAGAAAAUGGUUGCUGGCCAAUGAUCCUUUAGUCCAUCUAAAUGAAUGGAUGGCUCACGCGUGGAGUACUUAUGACCAUUGGAUGCAUGGUUAGAUGGAAAACGAUACAUACACCAUCUGUAGCCAUUUGAAGGGUGUGGAUGAAACCCUUGUCUCUUGAUAUUCUUUGUCCUGCUUUGUGCUGUCCGUGAGAGAUUUAUCAUCUGUGUGAUAUUCUUGUAAAUUCUUAAGUAGAAUUUUUAAGGGUUGUUAAUCAAUAACAUUUAUCCUCAUUUGUGAGUAGUUUUUUAUUCAUUUCUAGAAUAGCAGAGAGUGAGUUGAGAGGGAGAAAUCUUUUAAACAUUUGGUGUUCUUCUGUGAUCGAUAUUCUUGCCUAUUUUUGGGCUAUGUUAGUGAAUUUGAGCGAAAUUUUAAUGCAUGCUCAACAAGAGAUUGAGCAUUCGAUAGCGGUCAUUGAACUUUUGAAGCCUUUGGUCGAAAAUACUCACGUGUUCUUUUUUUAUUUA